rnacentral:misc_RNA from 1 species
GAUGAAGAACGUAGCGAAAUGCGAUAAGUAAUGCGAAUUGCAGAAUCCGUGAGUCAUCGAAUCUUUGAACGCACAUUGCGCCCGCUGGUAUUCCGGCGGGCAUGCCUGUUCGAGCGUCAUUUCAACCCUCAAGCCCCCCGGGUUUGGUGUUGGGGAUCGGCUCUGCCUCACGGCGGUGCCGCCCCCGAAAUACAUUGGCGGUCUCGCUGCAGCCUCCAUUGCGUAGUAGCUAACACCUCGCAACUGGAACGCGGCGCGGCCAUGCCGUAAAACCCCAACUUCUGAAUGUUGACCUCGGAUCAGGUAGGAAUACCCGCUGAACUUAAGCAUAUCAAUAAGCGGAGGA